rnacentral:rRNA from 1 species
CGGUGAAAUGCGUAGAUAUUAGGAAGAACACCAGUGGCGAAGGCGACUCUCUGGACUGUAACUGACGCUGAGGCUCGAAAGCGUGGGUAGCAAACAGGAUUAGAUACCCUGGUAGUCCACGCCGUAAACGAUGAGUACUAGGUGUAGGAGGUAUCGACCCCUUCUGUGCCGCAGUAAACACAUUAAGUACUCCGCCUGGGAAGUACGAUCGCAAGAUUAAAACUCAAAGGAAUUGACGGGGGCCCGCACAAGCAGCGGAGCAUGUGGUUUAAUUCG